GCGGAUACGGGGCGCCGCGAGGGUCACGAGCGUGCGGCGCGCGAGGUGCGCAGCUACGGGGCGCCGCGAGAGUCACUGGAGUGCGGCGCGCGAGGGUGGAGGACUCCAGCGCAUCCCUCACCUUGGUGUUGACCUGCAGGGCACCGGGCCGGUGAGCCUUGGGGCAGGUGGGGUGUGCAGGCACCCCCGGCCCAGGGCUACCUCCUCCGUCCCAGCCAGGAUCUGCACUCGGUCAGCCAGGGAUGAAGACAUGAUGGCUGGAGCUGGUACAGCUGCUUGGCACCAUGAGAUAGAUUUGGAAUGGGGGCCCUUACAGCAUAGAGCACAGUAAAAGGAGCCUGGGUUCCUGACUCCCUGCUGGCCCCAAGCCACCCACCUGGACUUCUACACGAAAGAAAACGCAAACUCUAGCUGACUUAUACCAUGGAUACCAUUUUGCUUUCCUACACACAGAUUCCUUGGUACA